rnacentral:sRNA from 1 species
ACAGUGGUAUAGUAAGGACAGUAGCAGGGCAGGCUUCCCCACACUGCACCACCAACAUACCUCAAACAUUGACCUGCAGGGAGCACCUCUAAG